AGAGAAUGAUUUACCAUUCCCAGUAAUAAAUAGCCACUUUUUUUUUUAUUCUAUGCAGACUGUUGGGUAUAUUUUGGAAGUGUGCCAGAAUUGGUGAACGGAAAAGUCCUUAUGUUGCAGUAUGCUGUAUAGUGAUGGCCUUCAGCAUCCUCUUCAUGCAGUAGCUUGGAAAAAUGCCAGAAUUUAAUUGCCAUCAGAUUUCAAUGUGAACAAAGACUUAUCUGCAAAAAAAUAAUGGAAAGAACAGUUAACCCUUUAUCUCCAAAUAUGGAAUGAGAUAAAUUUCCAGAUGCUGUUCUCUAUUUUUGUGUUAUUGGACCAAUGUUCUAUAUAAAUAAUUAAGAUGUAACCAUUUAAUACUCAGAGGAUUUAAUAGUCUGUAACAAUCAACCUCAGUACUGUCAAGACAGUAUUAUAUUCUACAAAUGUCAUUCUUUGUGUCUGACACCAAUUUUUAGUGAGGUAUCUCUAAGACACACAGUAGAAAAGAAAAUUACUCAAGUUCCUUUCACUAUGAUUUGGAAAUGAUAAAUCUUUACAGAAUGAGACCUUUUUUGUACUAAUGUUUUUAUUGAGAAAAAAAUGAUUCAAUUUGUGUUG